rnacentral:tRNA from 1 species
CCCGCCUUAACUCAGUGGUAGAGUGCGCGGCUGUAGUUCGGCCAAUGCGAGUGAAAUCGCACAUUUCCGCGCAGGCACCGCGAUGUCCCCGGUUCGAGUCUGGGAGGCGGGA